rnacentral:rRNA from 1 species
CGUGGGUAACCUGCCCAAGAGAUCGGGAUAACACCUGGAAACAGAUGCUAAUACCGGAUAACAACAGAUGAUGCCUAUCAACUGUUUAAAAGAUGGUUCUGCUAUCACUCUUGGAUGGACCUGCGGUGCAUUAGCUAGUUGGUAGGGUAACGGCCUACCAAGGCGAUGAUGCAUAGCCGAGUUGAGAGACUGAUCGGCCACAUUGGGACUGAGACACGGCCCAAACUCCUACGGGAGGCAGCAGGU